rnacentral:lncRNA from 10 species
AUCUGCUUCUGGUGAGGGCUGCAGGGAGCUUCCAUUCACAACAGAAGAUGAAGGAGAGCAGGCAUCACUUAGCAAGAGGAAGGGAGCAAGAGAGAGAGGGGAGAGGUACCAGGCCCUUUCAAACAACCAACUCUCAGUCCUAGGAUGACUUGGUCACCAUCAACUCCCUCCGUCCACCCACCAUGCAACAGAUGAAAGACAUUAUGAAAGGUUAGAAGAUGGACAGAGUUGGAAACAGCCUUUCCUCGAAGACAUUUUUUUUUCAAGAUCAAAAUCAGAACCCAACCUUUUAAAGAACAGUCCUGAAUUUAAUUUCCUUUCCUUUGUUCUUAUUUUAAUUUCCCCCUAAACUGCACUUGAGCUUCCAAUGAUCUUCUUUCCUAUCUAAUGCCAAUAAUUUGCACUUCUGUCAUCCUUUUCAUCUGGGGAAUCAUAAGGACAUCUGAAACUUUCUCUUAUGAACUUCAGAGAGCUGCCCUGACAGGAACAUGUCUGGCCUGAUUUGAAGCUGCUACAUCUACUUUGAAAGAAGCCACAUAACCUUUGCUGCUACUUCAUUUCAAGUUUUCCUUUGAAUUUUCUAUUUCCUGAGCUGGGAGAAAUGAGAGGAUGCACCCUCUCCCUUUCUAACAGAAACUGAAUAGAAAUGUGAGCCCAAAUGAAACACAUCUGUGUGAAGGUUGGUGUGGUAGGCAGUCUUUAGAAUGCCCCUCAAUGGUCUUCAUUCCCUAUAGAAUCUUCUCCCCUUGAAUGUGGGCUGUGCCUAGUGACUUGCCUCUAAUGAAUGAAAUAUAGCAAAAGUGAUAGAAUGCCACUUUGAGGAGGUUAUAAAGCAUGACGACUUCAGUCUUGCCAACAUCUUUUAGGCCCUUCUCACUUGCUCUGAUGAGUCUGGCUCUCAAGUGAGCUGCCCUGAUGGAGAGGCCCGCAUGUCCAGAAUGAAGCAUACCUUCUGCCAACAGCCAUCAAGGAACUGAAUCCUUCCUACAACCACGUGGGCAACAUUCGAAGGAAAUCCCCCCCUAGCCAAGCUUUGAGAUGACUACAGCCCCAGUGUACACCUCCAUUGCAGUUUUAUAAAAGACCUGAGACAGAGGACCCAGCUAAGCCAUGGGCCAGCCAGGAUUUCCUGACCUAUAAUAACUGUGAAAUAGAAUAAUAAAUGUUGUUGUUGUAAGUCACUACUUUUCUGACUAAUUUGACAUGCAGCAAUAGAUAACUAAUUUCAGGAACAAGGACAAAGAGUAAGAACUAAUCAUGGCCCACCUGAACCAUUCACGUACUAAGCAGAGACAGUCAGAAGAACAAGUAUUGACAUCCUGCCCCUGUCCCCCUCUACAGGUAGAAAUAAAAUUUUCCUGAUUCCCAGUACUUUGGGAGGCUGAGACAGGCAGAUUACCUGAGGUCAGGAGUUCGGGACCAGCCUGACCAAUACGGUUAUACUUUGUCUCUACUAAAAAUACAAAAAUUAGCUGGGUAUGGUGGUGGGCACCUGUAAUCCCAGCUACGUGGGAGGCUGAGACAGGAGAAUUGCUUGAACCUGGAAGUCAGAGGUUGCAGUGAGCUGAGAUCAUACCAUUGCACUCCAGCCUGAGUGACAGAGCAUGAAUCCAUCUCAAAAAAAAAAAAAAUUACCACCUUAACCAUUUUUUUUUUCAAAAGGACUUCACUCAUGGAAGAAAAACUUUACUUGCUGUUUCAAAAAAAUAUUUGUGUGAAGCAGAAAUUGGUUUCAAUAACAUUAGUAAAGAAUACAUCCUGGAAAAUAGAUAAAACUGGAUGUAAAAUUCUGGCAGCAAUUUAAUUGGACAGUCCCAGAUGGUUAGGCUGAGGAUAAAUGUCUUGUCUGUGGGGAAUUUUGGACGACACCUGGAGAAAGAUUACACUGCGCCUAAACCAAAUUGAGUUGCUUUCACAAGCCUUGUAAAAUUUCAUAUAGUAAAAGGUUUUUUCUAUAUGCACUUCAAUUUCAUAGCAAGAAUGGCAAAGAAUACCUAAAUGCAGAAGAGAGCAUUCAUGCAAUAUAUCUAACUACUUGAUAUAAUAACACAUACAAUUCAAAAAUGAUUACACUCUCAUUAUAUCUAGGGUUUCUGAAACUACAAGGUAGUAGUUAUGGAAAGCAUGGCCCCUGGUUUCAACAUCUAAAAA